AGUGAACGCUGGCGGUAGGCCUAACACAUGCAAGUCGAACGGCAGCACAGUAAGAGCUUGCUCUUACGGGUGGCGAGUGGCGGACGGGUGAGAAAUACAUCGGAAUCUACUUUUUCGUGGGGGAUAACGUAGGGAAACUUACGCUAAUACCGCAUACGACCUACGGGUGAAAGCAGGGGAUCUUCGGACCUUGCGCGAUUGAAUGAGCCGAUGUCGGAUUAGCUAGUUGGCGGGGUAAAGGCCCACCAAGGCGACGAUCCGUAGCUGGUCUGAGAGGAUGAUCAGCCACACUGGAACUGAGACACGGUCCAGACUCCUACGGGAGGCAGCAGUGGGGAAUAUUGGACAAUGGGCGCAAGCCUGAUCCAGCCAUACCGCGUGGGUGAAGAAGGCCUUCGGGUUGUAAAGCCCUUUUGUUGGGAAAGUAAAGCAGCAGGUUAAUACCCCGCUGUUCUGACGGUACCCAAAGAAUAAGCACCGGCUAACUUCGUG
rnacentral:rRNA from 1 species